rnacentral:rRNA from 1 species
AGAGUUGAUAUGGCUCAGGAUGAACGCUGGCGGCGUGCUUAACACAUGCAAGUCGAACGAAGCACCGGACCUUCGGGACCGGUGACUGAGUGGCGGACGGGUGAGUAACGCGUGGGUAACCUGCCCUGUACAGGGGGAUAACAGUUAGAAAUGACUGCUAAUACCGCAUAAGCACACGAGGGGGCAUCCCUUUGUGUGAAAAACUCCGGUGGUACAGGAUGGGCCCGCGUCUGAUUAGCCAGUUGGCAGGGUAACGGCCUACCAAAGCGACGAUCAGUAGCCGGUCUGAGAGGAUGAACGGCCACAUUGGAACUGAGACACGGUCCAAACUCCUACGGGAGGCAGCAGUGGGGAAUAUUGCACAAUGGGGGAAACCCUGAUGCAGCCAACGCCGCGUGAGUGAGGAAGUAUUUCGGUAUGUAAAGCUCUAUCAGCAGGGAAGAUAAUGACGGUACUUGACGAAGAAGCUCCGGCUAAAUACGUGCCAGCCGCCGC